CCUGACUGGCCAAAGGAUUCUUUGGGUUCUGUUGCUUUAUCCAAGUGAUCCAAAGUGACCCAGGUUCCACUCUGCAUGUUCGCUUCUACAGCUUUCUCCAAGUCGAACACAGAAGGAUUAAAAAGAAAACACAAAUAUUGGCAUAGGUGACUUGAGGUUACUUGACCUUUCCGAAGGAAGAUUUUUUGGCAAUUGUGUUCUGGCAGCUCCCUGGAAGGCAAGGCCAGGACACAAAGAGGAAGACAGGAAGCCGGGAGCUGGCCAUGUGUCCUUGGCAGGCAGUAGUGCGGCAGGGUGAACCACCUCGUCCCUGCCAAACCAGAAACAGCGGGGAAAGCCCAGCUAAUUGGCAAGUCACAGCCGGCUACAGUGUACAUCCUCGGCUUUAAAUGCCUGAUAAAGUUAAAUGGCAUGCCAGACCCUAAUCUACUUAAACAGGAUCCUCCUUCACUUUCAAAAACUUAACUUGCCCAUUUGUGUUUCCUUAAGGAAGUGGUAAGGCAGCAUCUUAGAAUAUAAGGGCUGGAAAACUUAAAAACAAAACAGCAAAAAAACUAAAGAUGUGUUGGAGUCUCAUUAUGCUUAUAGCCACUUUACUUUGUGAAAGGGCCAUGUAUGUUUGUGCUUUUGGUUUUAGCUAAUGAGACUUCCACUUGCUCAUUUAUUUUUAUUUAAAAGAAACUCUCAAGUCAACAUUGCAGACUGAUUAUGACUUCAGUUCAUUUGGAGGAUCCAGGCAUUUUUUUUUUAAUUUCACAAAACUCCUAAAGAUAUCCAGGGAAACUGCAGAGUUGCCCCCAGUUUCCAGUCAGCUAUUGUAUUUACUUACACGUUAGUUUGCUCAAUCAUAUUUGCUAAGGUAUUUCUGCAUAUACUAGCAUAAAAUCACCAAUUUCUGAGUCUUUUACGACUAAAAUGGGGAAUCACACAGGGAGAACAGGAGCAGAGGGGAUUGUCCAAAUAAACUGCUCCUCAGUGCUGCUGCUAACAGAGUGAAAAUCCAGGGACCUGGAGCCUGGAGCAUAAUUUUCCCCCUAGGUCUGAAGGCUUGUUAAGAGCCAUUUAAAGGGGUGUGCUCAGUAGUUGGGCAUAUUUCCUUCUAUUUUCCGUGAAACUGUUCAUGCCUUCUUCAAAACUCAAACCAAAAUUUCAAAUCAGCUUCUCCUCCUUAAAAUAUAAUAGUCAGUGGUGAAAUUUGAUGAAGAAAAUGCAAAUUUCCUCUCAGAAUCGAUAGAAGAUUACAAUAAACACAAUCUACUGUUUUCAUCAGAAGUUUCUUAAAGUCUACAGAAUAUUCAUCCUUUAAGCAACCCAGGACCCCAGAAUCUGUUUCAGUGAAGUUAGACCAAGGAAUAAAACACAACGCCAAAACUCACAUUCUCUCUGAUCACGAUCUGAGAUAAGAAAAUAAUAAUCCUCAUGUCCAACACUAGGUCUCAGGAUCAGUAAGUCAAGUGUGUCUUUCAGCUCCAAAAUUACUAUGUUUUUUUAAGACACAACUUGACUUUCUCAGACUCUACUUGGUUAACUUUUCACACUAAGUAUCCCUGGCUUUUGGAAAUUCUCCUUCCCCUUUCCUUUGGGGCACCACUCCUUUCUAGGUCCAAUCCUCUACUUCUGAGGGCUCCUUUCCUGUCUUGAUGGCUAUCUCUUUCUCUUCUGUUGGUCUCUUAAAUGUUGGUGAUCCCAAAGACAACCCAUCCCACUUGGCCAUCUUCUUGUCUUUGUAUAUUCCUCCUCGGCAAACUCAGCUAGGUCCAUGUUUACAAAUACUACCCAUUUUUUGAGAACACUGUAUCUCUAUAUCUAGCACUAACGUCUUCUUUAACUGCAAAACUCCUCCUGAUGUUACUAGUGCACAACGUUUGUACACUCUUGCCCCCCUCCCCCAACCAAUCCACACCUCAAUUAACGGCAUUCACAGCCAUUCGGUUUCCCAAGCUGAAAACGAUCAUUCCAGAAAUCCCAUCUCCCUAAAGCCUCACAUUCAGUUGUCAGCCCAGACUCUACCUUUCAAGCCCAUUUCCCCAUCUCCUUCCCAACUGGUGCUAAGUCCCUUAUUGAGUUUCACAUUUUUACCUCACAAUAGCCUCAGCCUCCUCAGGCCAUAAUGAUUCACUCUUCACACUAUAACCAGACUCCAUCCUCUGCACAGCCAUCAGAAAUCACAACACUUCACUCCUUAAAAUACCUUGGUGGCUUCCAAUUGCUAGCUAGAAUAAUCUACAACCUCCUUAGUACAGCAUUCAAGGUGCUCCAAAACCUGUCCCCGGCCUAGCCUCACUCUUACAGAAACCAUCACCCUUUACUCUCCCCCUCACCCCCACAUCCAACUUCUUAAUAUUCUUCUUAACAGUCCUAGAAUAUGCCAUGUAACUGCAGGUCUGUGCCUUUGCUCAUAUAAUUUCUAUGCCUGGAAUAUCCCUUAUUUGAUGCAAGACAAACUCCUAAUUCAUCUUUAGAAGUUCUUGAAUUUCAUCUGUUACAUCCUUCCUGAACCUUAUUGCCCCACCUAAUGAGGCCUCCCUCUGGGGCCCAUGUGGCCUUGCUCACACUUCAGUGCAGGGCCCGACCAGUGCGUCAUGGUUGGUUGUUUAUACAUUACUUCUCUCCAAGAUUGUGACCUCCUGUAUCCCAACUUACCCUGAAUAAUUUUGGAAAUCUAUUUAAAUGGCAUAAAAAUGUUAUCUUGGAUGUACUAUCCAGGUAGAAACUGAGACAAAGAGCAUGAAUUCCCAAAAGUAAGACAAGGCAAUCUUAAAAAAAAAAAAAAAGUCAUAAUGAGUUAGCAAUUUAUACAGGUAACUAACAUUCAAUAUUCUGAUUGUGACAUAUACAGAUGAUAUUUAUCCAUUUGUUUAGUUUUUUGAAAAGGACUGAACACCUACAGUGGUCCAUGUAUCAUCCUUGGAACUCAGUCUACAACAGUCAAUAAAAGAUUACCUGUUCCUGUCUUCAUGCAGCUCAUGGUUUCAUUUGUACUAUGUUGACUUUCAUUCACUUGCUAACAGGUAAAAUGUGCUCUCUAUACAAUCUACAAAUAAGAAGAAUCUGUAAUCAUUACGUUUUGAAAAUAAAUUGACACUUUUCACACAUACACAAAGAUUUAGUAGUGGGACAAGCUUUUUCAUUUAAUUUUUGUUUAUAGCAACUAAAACAUGAGAGACUAAAAGCCACAGACUGCAAAAGUAUUAUUUAGCUGUAAUAAGUAGAAUGUGUAAAGGUGGUAUGAUGACAAAACAGCUACUGCAGCAUGAAAUAAUGAGAUUAUAAAAUAAUGAGACCAGAGAUUUAAAAUUCUCUGACCUCUAUUAUCUUUCAGAAUAGCUAAAAGGGGUCUAUUGACUAGUUUGGGAGCUGAAGAGUCAAAUACUAUUUCAGAAUGAAAAUUACUUUGUGGUCACACCCCAUUAUAGAAUAUUGAUGGAGCCAGACUACAUGAAAGUCUCAAAAGGAGUACUGAGAGAAAACAUCAUAAGAAUUGGUUUUUUGCUACUAAAAUCCAUCCUCAAGAAAAAACAAAAGCUAAUUUUAAAAAAUCAUAACCAAGGCAAAGUUUCUAAAUGGAAUGACAUGAAAAUAUCAGUUGUACAUUUUUUGCCUUUUAGAAAAAUGACCCAUAUGUAUAGCAUUUUAUAUGGUUUUCUCUAAUGUAUCUGAGAAAUGUGUAAGCAAAUCUAUGCAAGGAGAUAUCAUGAUUGUGAUGUCAUAUUUCUUAUGAAAAAAAUCCCCUUUACAAUGUCAAUUAAUACCAAAUUUAGCUUUAAAACUCCAUGACCUCUACCAUUUUUUAGGUUAGCUGAAAAGGAUCUAUUGACUAGCUUUGUGAGCUGAACAGUUGAAUGCUACUUACAUAGAAAAUUAUUUCUUUCACUCCAUAAGAAUAAUUAUCAUGGCGAUCACACAAUUAUUAUAAUUAUAUCUGUAAGAACUGUUAUCGGGAAUUUAUCUCUGAAACAGUUUCAUGCAUUGCAGGGGACAUUUAUCUUUUUUAAUGAUCAUCAACACAAGUAUCUUUUUGUAGCUAUAUAAGUGAUUUUUACCUCUUUCUAUUAAUAUCCUCUUGCAUGCUUUAGAAGCCAAAGGAGACAGCCCCAACACUUUUUUUUCCUAAAGCAAUUGUUUCAGUUAAGCCAGGCCAAUGGCAUCUUUUGAGACAGAAAGCUACCCUUCCCAUUCACAGCAACAUAACAUUCACAAUGUGCUUUCCUAAAUGGAUGGAAAACCCCUCAAAAAAGCCCCUCAAAUCUGUGUUUCAUAAACUGUACUCUUAGCAAUAAAGUUUAUUACAGACCUAAAGUAUCUGCAUAAACCCGGUUAAUUGAAAAGUGGGUGGAGAAGGCUGCCAAAUUAAAUGUUUACAUUAGCACAGCUGUAUUGUAAAAACAUUCUGCCCCCUGUGCUUUGUAAUUAUAAGAUAUUUCUGGACUGUGUAUCUCUACAAAGUUUAUCUCCACUGCCAAGAGUGUCUUGGCACGGAGCGACUGCAGUUUUUGGCAGCCAGGAGCUCUCCGCGCGGGCAGGAUCUAAAAUGGCUGCCAAGCGGCCUCCUGAAAUGUCGCCGGCGUGGGCCCGCCUCACCAAGGGCAAAGGCCAACCCUGUUACCACGGGAGGGUCUAAAGUCUGCCUCACAGGAAGCCAAAAUGUGUAUUUCCCUCAUAAAUAAGACUUGGUACCACAACUUUUGUGUUGUAGUAGUUAAAGCUGUUUGAAAAACUAACUACAAAGGAAUAUUGGAAUACUACCAAUUAGAAAAUGGUGACGAGGGGUCUUUUAUGAAAUUCUGCUGACCUCAACAUUUCAAUCACACAAAAUGCCCACAAUAUUUUCUGCUGAUUAAAGAAACUCACUUAAUUGGUGGGGGGAAAAAAAGGUUGGAAAAAAAAACCAACAAAUUCUGACCAUAUUAAAACAUACUAUAGAGAAGCAUCAGCAAAGCCAACACUUUCCCAUUUGCAAUGGCAUGAUUUGGACAUAAACUUAUAACCUCUAUCAAAGCAUAUGUGCAUGAAAAAUAGAAACAAAACUAAUUUGUUUUCUUCUCAUCCUUUAAAAAGGAUAUGUUCCUCUUACAGCAUUAAACAACAUUAACAAAAGAAAACCUUUUCAUACCCUUCUAUGGCAAAGGCCUCAACAUUUGAGAAAUUAGCUUUCUCUUCCCACCGCCCAUCACCCAAGAUGCGGAAAGGAAAGAAAGCCAAGGGGAAGAAGAUGGCUCUGGCCUCUGCUGUCGUGAAGAAGCAGGAGGCCAAGAAAGUGGUGAAUCCCCUGUUUGAGAAAAGGCCGAAGAAUUUUGGCAUUAGACAGGACAUGCAGCCCAAAAGAGACCUCGCCCCUUUUGUGAAAUGGCCCCGCUAUAGCAGGUUGCAGCGGCAGGGAGGCAUCCUCUAUAAGCGACUAAAAGUGCCUCCUGCGAUUAACCAGUUCACCCAGGCCCUGGACCGCCAAACAGCUGCACAGCUGCUUAAGCUGGCCCACAAGUACAGACCAGAGUCAAAGCAAGAGAAGGAGCGGAGUCUGUUGGCCCAGGCGGAGAAGAAAGCGCCGGCAAAGGGGACACCCCCACUAAGAAGAACACCUGUCCUUCAAGCAGGAGUUAACACCAUCACCACCGCGGUGGAGAAUGAGAAAGCUCAGCUGGUGGUGACUGCACAGGACAUGGAUCCCAUCGAGCUGGUUGUCUUCUUGCCUGCCCUGUGUUAUAAAAUGGGGGUCCCUUACUGCAUUAUCAAGGGGAAGACAAGACUGGGACAUCUAAUCCACAGGAAGACCUGCACCACUGCUGCCUUCACACAGGUUAACUCAGAAGACAAAGGAGCGCUGGUGGAAGCUAUCAGAACCAAUUACAACGACAGACCCAAUAAGAUCCAUCGUCACUGGGGAGGCAAUGUCCUGGGUCCCAAGCCUGUGGCUCCCAUUGCCAAGCUCAAAAAGGCAAAAGCUAAAGAACUUGCCACAAAACUGGGUUAAAUGUACACUGUUGAGUUUUCUGUACAUAAAAAUAAUACAAAUUUUCCUUCAAAAAAAUCUGAGGAAUUAACUAUGUCUGUGGCAUAAAACUGAAAAAAAUUGAGAUCAAAUACAUAGUCUCUGUAAGUGAGUUCCAAGGGCUGACCAAAGGAACAAAAAUUGGAAGCAAGUGAGGGGAGGGGACGGGGAAAAAAGAACGGAGGGAGGAAAGGGAA